rnacentral:lncRNA from 10 species
ACCAGACCAUCUCCCGGCGCGGGUGGAAUUCCCGCGAUCUGUCUCAUUCCCUGCGCCGCCGAGAAAAGUGAGAUCCCGCGAGACUCCCAGGAUGAAGUCUGGCUCUGUUGCCCAAGCUGGAGUGUGUUGGCACCAUCUUGGUUCACUGCAACUUCCACCUCCCAGGCUCCAGUGAUUCUCCUGCCUCAGCCUCAAGGGUAGCUGAGAUUACAGGCUGGAGUGCAGUGGCAUGAUCUCACCUCACUGAGAACCUCCACCUCCAGGGUUCAAGUGAUUCUGCUACCUCAACCUCCCAAAUAGCUGGGACUACAGGCACUUUCCCUACAUUUUCAAAGGCCUGCAUCAUCACAUCUGCCACAGCAUUCUCUAUCAUUGAGGCAUUUUCUCAGGAAAUCACCUGUGAAAUAUUUUGCAGCUAACCACCUACCUGUGCCCCACCAGCCAACAUGCUUUACUCCUGCCAGGCAGGUUCUCUGUAGCCCUCUGGAUUCUGUCUGCCUCUGUUAUAUCUUCACGAACAAGUUAUGCAGCCUCAACUAAAGCUUGUAACAAAGCAAAGUUACUCUCCUGAGUGUGUCCUCUGAUGGAUGGUGAGAUAUAACUUCAAGAUGAAGCCUCACCCACACUCCCUGUACAAAAACGCUUCUCAC